rnacentral:rRNA from 1 species
GAUGAACGCUGGCGGCGUGCUUAACACAUGCAAGUCGAACGAAGACAUCUGAGUGCUUGCACUUGGAUGGACUGAGCGGCGGACGGGUGAGUAACGCGUGGGUAACCUGCCUUAUACAGGGGGAUAACAGUUGGAAACGACUGCUAAUACCGCAUAAGCGCACGGUAUCGCAUGAUACAGUGUGAAAACUCCGGUGGUAUAAGAUGGACCCGCGUCUGAUUAGCUUGUUGGUGAGGUAACGGCCCACCAAGGCGACGAUCAGUAGCCGGCCUGAGAGGGUGAACGGCCACAUUGGGACUGAGACACGGCCCAAACUCCUACGGGGAGGCAGCAGUGGGGAAUAUUGCACAAUGGGGGAAACCCUGAUGCAGCGACGCCGCGUGAGUGAUGAAGUAUUUCGGUAUGUAAAACUCUAUCAGCAGGGAAGAUAAUGACGGUACCUGACUAAGAAGCACCGGCUAAAUACGUG